CGCUUCCAGGGCCCCUGCCGCAAGCCCACCUGCCCGGUGAGCGCCGUGGUCAUGGCAACCAGAGAGGCUGGGAGAGUGAUUGGUCCCCUCGCUGCCACGCCCCUACGCCACCGCUUCCCAGUAACUGAGGCAACCAAGAGGACCGGCCCUCCUCCUUUCAUCCCUCCUAGAGAGCGCUGUGUAGGAGAGGGACGUGCCUUCUCUCUCGCUAGCGAAAUACCACUUCUCCAAAAUGGUGGCUACUCUCAUACAAUAAUUCAUGGAGAGAGGGAGUAUGAAGUCAUUUCUAAACUCUUCUGGAUGAGGAUGGGCUGUCACUGAAGCCACUUCCGCUGUACGAUGGUCUGCCCGCCCUUGCCAAUGAUGGAGCCUGCUGCGUAGCUGGGGAUCAGCACCUUCAGGAAACCCUUCUACAGAACCCAGGACAUGCUAACCUCUGUUCCAACUACUGUAGGCAUACCAGUUCUUUGAAUUUCCACACUGGCGCCAUGAAAGACGUACUUUUUGAAAGCCCAUUUUACAGACAAGGAAACAAAGGAGGAAACUGAGGCGCAGAGACAGUGAAGGCACCAGCCCAAGGUCAGCUGCUCAAGGGCACCAAGACAGCCACUGGCUUGAGGGUCCAAUGCAAUCCUGCUUCCUUCUUGGCCCCCACUUGCUUAGCACCUUCCGAUCGUGCUAGCUAAGACCAACACACUCAAGGACAGUCUCCAAGACCUACAGGUGGUGACAGUGGCCACUGUGGGACUGUGGCCAUUCUUUUUUAUGGACCAGUCUUCUCGGUCAUGUGUAAAGCACUUUGUGAAUGCACUCAAGGCACAUGCCUAACCUCUCCUACCUUCUAACCAAACUGUUGCCCCUAAGUUCUCAUAGGGUGGGAAUUCUGGAGACUUCUCAGUAGAAGAUCCUCUGUGAUUUGGCCCUGCAUUUCUUUCCAGCAUCACGUCCUCAUCUUCCACUAUGUGCAUCAGACCAUCAGACAUAGCUUUGCUCCUCAAACGUUCCCUCCGCCCCCCCCCCACCUCAGGGCCUUUGCACAUUCGCUUUGCUUGGAACUCCCCUUCCACAGUGAAUUCCUCUUGUCCUUCAGGCCCUCACUCAAAUAUUGCUUCUUCUUGGAAGCUUUCCUGGAACCCAGAGGAGGAGUGGAUCCCUCCUCCCUGUCUUAUGCCUUCAGAGCAAUGUAUCACAGAAGGCCCAUUGUGGGUCAUGUCACUGGAGCUCACCCUCGUGUCCCAGGGACUCGUGUGGUGCCUGGCACAUAGUAGGUAUGCAAUAAACCCAGGGGAAAGGAAGGGAGGGACCAGGCCAUUCUGCUUCCAAAGCUUAAGGUCUUAAACCAUCCUCAGUGGUUUUUUAAUUUUUUUCUUUUAACCAAAGGAAACCUAUUUUCAAUGUCUCACAUGAAACUCCAACACACAGAGCAGAAAAGAGAAACUGUUCUGGUAAAAGUGGGGGCAGGGUGGGGGGCUGGGAGCCCUGCCCACCUCUGCUUGAUCCCUUAAGACGGAAGGUUCUGAAC